rnacentral:lncRNA from 1 species
AAAGUCAAUGUUUUGAUACCUGACACUUGGUUACCUUCUUAAUCAAGUUAAGCAAACCAAAGGAAGAAAUCAGCAUCACUUGCUAAAGUCAUCUAGGCUGGCAAUUCCUUCAUCACAAGCAAUUUUUGCUUUACUUUGCUUAAUCAAAGAUUUUGCUUAUAUUUUGAGGAACUGAGCUUUGCUUAGUAAACUCUAGGUGCUUUAAACUAUCCAGCUGCCAACUUGGCUUAACCUCGGACCAUUUUGAGAACAACACUACGCAUAGUUACCAAAUCUAGUCGCCAUUGCUUAACACUUACAACUUUGACUGGCCAUUACCAAUGGAGCCAAAACUUUCCUAUAACUUCAGUUGUUCAUGAUAAAACUCUCGUUCUUUUCAAAUUCUAUUCAUGAUUCAUCCUUCUACUAGUUUAUUCAGUUGGACUAGAGUUGUUCUAAUGCCAAAUUCAAGUCAUAUUUUCUGCAUUUAGAUUUUCUUUUUGCCCUCACCAUCAUGCUAAUUAUUUCUUCACCUUCCUUUUCAAAAUGAAUUGAGAUCCUCCCCAACGCAAACUUAUUUGUCCAUAAAUAGUAUGAAAAUGUACCAAAGGUUAUAGCAGGCUGCGGCAUCACAAAGCCAUUAAUACAUAUUAUCGCACCAAACACGUAGUUUCAUGUCAAGCAUGCACAACACCACGUAAUGGCUUUUGAAUCCCAGCAAACACGCGCCUAAUUGCAUGCUGUACAGAUAGGUUGCCCACUUGCCAUUCCUUAGAAGACUUGUUUGGACGUGCUAAAUCCUGGUAACAACAAGAUCAAUGAUAUAUGUCCUCAUUGGUUGGGAAGUCUUCCACAGCUACAAGUUCUUGUAUUGCAGUCGAAUCAAUUCCAUGGUUCCAUUCAUGGCAUUAGAUCCAAUCGUUCUUUCUCUAAGAUUCAAAUUUUUGACCUCUCAAAUAAUUAUUUUACCGGCCCACUUCCUGUUAAAUAUAUAAAGAAUUUUAAGGCUUUGACAAAUCUCACAAUAGAUAAAAGUGCAAUCUGAUACAUAGGAGUGCAGGCUUUUAAUGUCAGUCACUUUAUAGUUAUUCUGUUGAAAUUGCAAUAAAAGGACAAGAGGUUGAAUUGGAGAAAAUUUUCAUCAAGGUGACGAGCAUUCACCUUUCAAAUAAUAAGUUUCAAGGUUAGAAACCAAAGGUUAUUGGAGAGCUUAAAUCACUCAAAGGGCUUAACCUUUCUCAUAACAACCUUAGUGGUUAUAUCCCUACAUGUAUGGGGAAUUUGAUUAGUCUUGAAUGGUUGGAGCUCUCUUCAAACGAGCUAGUUGGGAAGAUUCCUACACAGUUGACUAGUUUGGGUUCUCUUGCAGUGUUAAACCUUUCACAAAAUCAGCUCAUUGGACUUAUACCUCUGGGAAAACAAUUCAAUACUUUUGGUAAUGAUUCCUAUGUUGGUAACUUGGGAUCGUGUGGGUUUCCAUUGUCAAAGAGAUGUGACGACACUGAGGCAUCCGUUUUUCAUGAGGAAGCAGACUUUGAGUUUGGAUCUGUGUGGAAAGCGACAUUUAUGGGUUAUGGAAGUGGACUAGUGUUGGGAAUAUCUGCAACAAAUAUCAUGUUCACCCUUGGAAGACCCAAAUGGCUUGUGAGGAUGGUUGAAGAAGCCAGCUACGAACUUAAGAGAUAUCUCAGAGGAGGAAGAAAUUUGUAAAUUAGUAAGGAUGGUUGUUGCAAACUAUGCUUUUUUUCUUCCUAGAAUAAAUUUUCUUUCAUGCUAAUGAAACUUUAAGCCUAUUAUUGAUGUUAUAUGGAAUUUAAAUUUGAAUUUUCUAUCCCUUUUACAGAUGUUGACAUGAAAAUUUAGUUGAAUUCACAGCACUUACAUCAAUUUUUUUUUGUUAAUGUUGGAAGGCAGCAAUCAGGGAGGAUAGCAUUGAAAAUGGUCCUUGCUAAAUUGGAGCAAUGGAAGCUUUCAACUUCUCUCAAAUUUUGCCCUUUCACAUAGUACAGCAAGCAAGCAGAAGAACUUAACAGCAUCCAAUAGUCAAUGUUUUAAUACCUGACACUUGGUAAACCUUCUUAAUCAAGUUAAGCAAGCAAAAGAAGAAAUCACUGUUAAUUGCUAAAGUCAUCUGGGCUGGCAAUUCCAUCGUCACAUGCAAUUUUAGCUUUACUUUGCUUAGUCAAAGAUUUUGUUUAUGUAUAUAUUGAGGAGCUGAGCUUUGCUUAGUAAACUCCAGUUGCUUGAACAAUCCAGUUGCCAACUUGGCUUAACCUCGGACCAUGUUGAGAAGAACAUCAUGCAUAGUUACCAAAUCUAGUUGCCAUUGCUUCACAUUUACAACUUCGACUGGCCAUUACCAGUGGAGCCAAAACUUUCCUGUAAUCUCAGAUGUUCAUAAUAAAAGUCUUGUUCUUUUCAAAUUCAAUUCAUAAUUCAUCCUUCUGCUAGUAUUCAGUCGGAUUGGAGUUUUUCUAAUGCCAAAUUCAAGUAAUUUCUUUUCUCAGUUCAGGGUAGAGAUGGGUAUAUGGGAAUUCUCUUGAUCCCAAUAAAACAAGAAACUCCCCUCUUUUUCUCUUUCUCCAUUUCCAUAUUUUGUUUAAACAAGUUUCAAUCUUUUUUCUCUCCAUUUAAUUUUGUAGUUUAUUGAAUUUUUCUUAUUGAUAGAAAUUUGAAUCGAAAUUUGAAGAACCCAUCAAAGUUGUCAUCCAAAACUAAUUCUCCUGUUAUCUCCAGCAAAUUUCUUGCUUUGUUUCAAAAUUGUUUUCUUUCAAAUUGUCAUUAGCACUUUGAGACAACUGCAUGACAAAAUUAGAAGACUUAAAAAGGCUUUUGCAUCGAUCUGAAAUCAGUAGCAUCAAAAAAUGGUUUAAAUAGCAGGCUGAAUUUAUUCUGUUCAUCCUUAGCAUUUGCUUUUUGACAAGGUUGAUCUACAAAUUGUUCAAAAAACUUAGACAAUGAAUAAUAAACAUAUGAAAGUAGGUGUAAACAUUAGGAAAAUGUAGGAAAGUGAUUGUCUAUUUCUCACUCUAUUUCUACGUAAAUGCAAUUGAAAAAUGUAGGAAAAAAUUGAAACUAGAAGUACAUGGUAUAAACAUUAUGCAAAAUUGACCUUGUUGAAGGAAAUUCUGUCAUUGCUUCACUUUUAAAUUAUUGAUCUCUUUAUUUUUAUUUUUCUUGUUUCUUUUCCCUGUUGAAUUAAAAGGAAAUUUACGACUAUUAAAAAUGAAUGAACAAAUUCAAAAUUAAUACGUGUUUUGAUUAAAAAAAUAAAAUAAAAGAGAACAAAAAACAAGAAUUACGCAGAAGAAAAGGCCCAAACUAACAUCUUUUGAUAGAUAUAUAUAUUUUUUAUACUUCUUGGUUUAACGUGACAAUUUGGGAUCAAUGCAUUAAUCUGUGACACCUUUUUAUAAAUCUAGAAGUGGAAUCAACACAGAGAAAAUUGUAAUGGUAGCAAAACUUUGAAUGAGAAAAAGUUACAGAGACUUGGUAAACUAUAUGUGAUGAAUACAGUGACGUGAGGUUGGGGUUCUGCAAUGGGUGGAUCCCAUGUCCCUACACCCUAUUUGCUUUGAGGUAGCUUAAUUAACGGUGCAAAGGAGCCAGUUCCAGCAUUCAGUCUUCUUACUUCUCUCAUGUUUUCUACUAUAGCCCAGUCAAUUCUGUAAAUUGCACUUGUUGGGGAGAAUUCUGCAAUGUGUCAGUGAGUGCACGUUGUGGGGACAAUUCCAACACGUUAAAAGAUUAAAUUUCAGCCUGGUGUAGACCAUAUUAACAUUAAUAAGACAAAAUAUAUAAUGGAAUGAUUGGAUUAUAGGUCCAUAUUUUCCUUUUGUGAAAAUAACCAUCUCACCUUUUUCUUUAAGAUUGGUUUAAUUUUUCCUUUGGCGUGUGGUCUUGGUCUCUUUGAUCAUCUCAUAUUUUCUCUAAUAGAAACUCUCUAUGAAAAGAUAAAUCACUGACCUUAAUGAGCUAGACAAUUUAAUUAAUGAAUCAGAAAAAAAGUCUUGAUAUGAAGAUUUUGACUCUUACUACAUAUUAUUUACAAAUGAUAGCAUCAACCUGAUUCAUCACACAUAGACUCUCAUUUCAUUUGUUACUAAAUCAGUAAUCAAUUAUUACUAAAUCAUGGAAUUUAAGAUUCAGGGACGAAGAUUGUACUGAGAAGUAGCUGAAUAUACGUACUUUAUUCUGGUCCAACCUUGUCCAACUAAAUUAGCAAUUCUGUUUUGUUGGGGAAUAAAAAACGCUUAAUGGUUUUGAUUGUGAGCAGUAGAAAACUUUGUAUAGGAGACAAGAGACCACGGGACAGUUUGAAUAAGGAACGCAAUGUCUUUAAAGUGUUGUUUACUCAGAAACUUUGAAGCGGCAGACGACUUUGAACAGGAAAAAGUUAGAGAGACUUUGUAAUACCCCUCACAGAGUAUUUAUUAUAAAAAAAAAUUAAAUUAAAAUUAUUAAGCUAUAGUAUUUUAUAAAGAUAAUAAGUAGAUAUUAUUUUAGUAUUUUAUUUAUUUACAAUUAUGACCUUGAGUGUCUUAAUAAUUAAAAAAAUAGAAGAAUGGGUCUUUAAGUAAAAGAAGAAGUUUAAUUAAGUCAGUUUUAUUAUCACGUUUAAGUUAGUGGGAUUAAGGGUCAGUUUAUUUAUCCCAUUUAAGUUAGUGGAGUUAGGUAGUUUAUAAGUUUUAAAAGAACAGACAACAACUUACGUUAGUUCAUUCAUCAUAUUCAAACAACAGACAGUCAGAAAAGCUUAAUAUCAGGGAAGAAGAAAGACAGAGGAGAGGGAAAGAGAUUGCUGAUUAAGGUAUGUUUGGGAAUUAUAUUUUCAUAAUUUGGGUACAAAAAACCCUAAAUUAGAUAUAUUUUCUUAUUUUUUAUUUAAAUUCGGCACUUUUCUGAUGACUUUCCUGUAGCAUGAUGGGUACCAAUGGAAAGGUCUUGAAAAGAUCUUUCCCAUGGUUUUUGUAGCAUCUUGUUCGAUUUUGUGGUUUGGAAGUUACAAAUUUUUAAAGUUAAUUAAGAACCUGGUUUUCAAUAGUUUUGACAGCCCGACUUUGGGUCACCGGAACUCCAUAUUCCGGUGACGUUUUUGGCCGUUUCUUUGAGGGCUUUUGAAGUAUGAAAUUAGAUGUUUAAUUUGGCGUCAAUGUCUUGGUUAGAGGCUUCCUGUGUUAAGAGAAUUAAAGCCUCAAAGUAGGCUCAUUGAUACUGGAAACCCAGAAAUCUGGGUAUUUCUGUGAUGAAUUCUUGAAUUUUGGCUUUCGAAACUUAGGAAUCUUGUGGUCUUUUUAAUCGAAACAAAUUUUGGUCUUGUAGUAUGAUAUGCAUACUUUAAAUUGGUGUUGAUUUCAUCACUGGAUAUAAUUCAGGUUAAAAGAUAUGAGAGCUUGAAGUAAGCCAAAUGGCCAUCCAGAUUCUGAAAAUUCCAGAAAACAGAAAAUUUCUUUUUUUUAAAUUUGUUUUAAAAAAUUUGAUUUUAAUUAUUAUGUGAUAAAUUCUAUUGUAAAUUUCAUAAAUAUUGGAUAUGUGAUUUCUACUGUAUUUUUAUGUCAAGAAGUAUGUAUCUUUAUAUUUUAUAAAUUUAUUUCUUAAAUUAGUAGAUUUUAUUAAAAUAUCAAAAUUUAUGAAAUUAAUUACAAAUAUGAUUUUUUACAAGUGAAAUUAGUAUUAUUUCUCUAUCUGAAAUUUAAAGUCCUUACUGAUUUUAUGAUUUAAGUUUAAUUCUCAACCUUAUUGGAAAUUUUGUUUAAUUCAAAAAUAUAAAUAAUAAUAAUAUAUUACCUUAUUAACAAAAAAAAAAAAAAGUUCAUAAAUUGUAAUAGGAGUCGCUACACACCCUAAGUGCUUAGGAUGGUCAACGAAAAGUCGCAUUGUAGGAUCUGUUUGCAAAUUUAGUUCUGAUUUUUGUGUUUCUCGAAAUACUAGGCUACUAAGAGGAUUUUCGGAUUUGCUACUUGAAAGUAAAAUUUACGAGAUCAAGUAAGUGACUGAUAUCCCUUCGAUGUUUUCACACCUUAAAAAUUAGCUUCAAUCUGAAUUUGUACAUGAGAUAUAAUAUUUUGUCCUAUGAUUUAUUAAAAUCGAGUUAAGCAUGCAAAAUGUAUAUGUAUAUGAGUUUAUAUGUUGGAUUUAGAAUGUUGCUUAUGUAAAGCCUGAUAUCUGAUUUCGAAAUAUAUAUGACUUUAUAUAAUGUAUGCAUAUAUGAUUUCGCAAAUAUAAAUACAAAUAUUUAGUCUGAAACAAAUAUGCUUUUGUGGUGUAUGAGAUACGCUUGAGAAAUUUGAUAUACUGUUUUAUGAACUUUGGGUAAUCUAAAAAUAUAUAUUUCUGUUUUGUCUCCUAGUAUGGCUAUGCUCUGACCCUGCCAAUGGGGGUUAAAUGUUGGCCAUGUCGACAUGUAUUCUGUGAUUAGAGAUCGAUCUCCCAACCGCACUACCGGUUACAGAAUAGUAGUAUUUGUGAUAUCUGUUCAGUGCAGCCAAUGGUUGCUUCUUCUGACCCAUGCCACUGGGGUUAAUUGUGGUUCUAUUUCUGACCUAUGCCACAGGGGUUAAGUGUGGUCGUAGCAUGUUACAGGAGACCAUUAAAAGUUAAAUAUUGUGAAUAUAUUUGUUCUGUUAUUUGAAUGCGCAAAUUUUGAAGUAUGUGAUUCCAAAUAAGAUUACCCAAUAUUUUAUCUUGGCAUUUGUAAAUGAUAUUUUGCCCUGAAUGUUUUAAGCAUGCUUAAUCCGGCUGAAGGGAUGUUAGUUACUUGCUGAGUAGUUGGACUCACCCUUUCCUUCAAAUUUUUUUCAGGUUGUGAUUUGGUCAACCACGCUGGAACUUUGGGGAGUGAUGUUUAAUUUAGUAGCACUUAAAUUAUUUAGGAUUUAUUUAAAUAUUAUGAACAUCGUACUAUCUUAAUUAGUAUUCAGACUUUUAUCUUGACACAGUAGCUUUAUGGUUUUGGAGAUUUAAUUUUGAAUAUUGUCAAAUUAUGAUAUUUGGAAAUUCUGUCAAUAGAUAUAGUUUAUAAAUCACUAAAUUCUUCAGGUAUAUUAGUCUCUUUUAGUAAUGGUUUAAGAUAUAUAUUUUAGAGCCUUGCAUGUCUGUGGGAUUAUACCUUACAGGUAUGCGGCGUCUGUCAUGUCUCGGGUCUGGGGCGUGACAGACUUGGUCAACGAAUUUGUCUUGGAUGCAUUGACGUGAAGUUGGGGUUCUGCAAUGGGUGGAUCUCAUUUCCCUACACCCUAUUUGCUUUAAGGUAGCUUCAUUGACGGUGCAAAGAAGCUAGUUCCAGCGUUAAGGUCUUCUUUCUCAUCUCCUUUUUUCUACUAGCCUAGUUGAUAUUAGCAUUAAUGAGGCAAAAUAAAUAAUGGAAUGAUUUCAUCAAAUGUCCAUAUUUUCCACUUAUUGGGUACCACCACCUUUUGCUUUCAGAUUAGUUGUUGUUGUUUUUUUUGCUGUGACUCGUAAAAUUAACAUUGACAGAUCUUCUUUAUUUUUGACCUUUUCUUGAGAAAAGGACAUAAUUGUAUUAAAGGCUUCAACAAUUGCAUCAAAGAAUACACUCUCUUGAGAUAAAUUUUAAGAAACGAUAGUUAUUUCAUCAGUUUGAUAAUUGGUUCGAUCUUUAUUGAUUACUUCACUGUCAUGAACCCUCGGUUAUCCUACUUUCUAAUUCGAGAUCCCCACUUGCAAUUGGAAACUAUAGAGAAAAAACGCAUGAAACGAAUUUCUAACAAAUGAUACUUAGAAAAUAAAACCCAAUGACCCAAGAUUUGAUUUCUUUAUUAUUAUUUUUCUUCUUUCGUUUCCUUUCAGAGUUAAAAGCAAACUUACAAACAUAAAGAAUGAAUGAACUAAGUCAAAAUUAAUACGUGUUUUGAUUAAGAAAAGAAAAAUGAAACAAAGAGUGAUACACGAUGGUUCUAUUCUUCUUUAAUCUGCAUGUUGGAUUAUAGAGUCUUAUCCACUCUCAUUAUAUUUUAUUAGAAAUUUAACAAAAUGGAGUUGAACUUACUAUUUAAUAUGCAUGAUGAUUGCCUUUAAAUUUAUAGGUCAUCACUAGACCCCAUUUGCUUUUAGGUAGCUUCGUUGAUGUUGCAAAUUGCACUUUCGUUUUUACUAGUGUAAAAAGCAGAAGACUUGAAAAGGGCUUUUGCAUCCAUCUGAAAUCAGUUUCAUCAAAACAUGGUCUAAAAUAGUAGGCUGAAUUUAUUCCUUUCAUCCUUACUAUUUGCUUUUUGACAACAUAUAAUAAACAAAUGAAAGUCGGUGUGAACAUGAAGACAAACCUUGGAAGUGAUUGUCUAUUUCUUACUCUAUUUCUAUGUAAAUGCAAUUGGAAGAUGCAGGGAAAGAAUUGAAACUAGAAGUACAUGGUAUAAACAAUAAUGCAAAAUUGGCUCUGUUGAAGGAAAUUCUAUCAUUGCUAUACUUUUAAAUUAUUGAUCUUUUUAUUAUUUUUUUUCUUCCUUCUUCCCUUUGAGUUAAAAGGAAACUUAUGAAUAUAUAGAAUGAAUGAACAAAAUCAAAAUUAAUGCGCGUUUUGAUUAAAAAAAUUAAAAUAAAAGAGAGGAAAAAACAAGAAUUAAGCGAAAGAAAGAGCCCAAAUUAACAUUUUGAUAUAUAUAUAUAUAUAUAUAUAUAUAUAUAUAUAUAUAUAUACUUCUUGAUUUAACGUGACAAUUUGGGAUCAAUGCAUUAAUCUGAGACACCUUUCUAUAGAUCUAGAAGUGGAAUUAGGACAAAGAAAAUUGUAAUGGUAACAAAACUUUGAAUGAGAAAAAGGUACAGAGACUUGGUAAACUGAUUUGUGAUGAAUCCAGUGAUCGGGGUUCUGAUUUGCUUAAUUGACGGUGCAAAGAAGCUAGUUCCAGCAUUCAGUCUUCUUGCUUCCCUCAUGUUUUCUAGUAUAGCCCAGUCAAUACUGUAAAUUGCUCUUGUUGGGAAGAAUUCUGCAAUGUUUCAGUGAGUGCACGUUGUGGGGACAAUUCCAACACGGUAAAAGAUUAAAUUUCAGCCUGGUGUAGACUAUAUUAGCAUUAAUAAGACAAAGUAUACAAUGAAAUGAUUGGAUCAUAUGUCCAUAUUUUUUUCUUACGGAAAUUACCGCCUCACCUUUUUCUUUAAGAUUAGUUUAAGGUUAGUUUAAUUGAUGAAUCAGAAGAAAAGUCUUGAUAUGAAGAUUUCGACUCUUACUACAUAUUAUUCACAAAUGAUAGCACAAACCUAAUUCAUCACGCAGAGAAUCUUGUUUCAUUUUGUUACUAAAUCAAUAAUCAAUUAUUACUAAAUUAUGAAAUUUAAGAUUUAGGGAUGAAGAUUGUACUGAGAAGUUGCUGAAAUACGUACUUUAUUCUGGUCCAACCUUGUCCAACUAAAUUAGCAAUUCUGCUUUGAAGUGUUGUCUUGAAUGCAUUGAUGUGAAAUUGGGGUUCUGCAAUGGUAUAAACAUGAUGCAAAAUGGCUCUGUUGAAGGAAAUUCUAUCAUCGAUGCACUUUUGGAUUAUUAAUCUCUUUAUUUCUUUCUUUUCCCCUUUAAGUUAAAAGGAAACUUACAAAUAUAAAGAAUAAAUGAACAAAUUCAAAAUUUAUACGCGUUUUGGUAACCAAAAUCUUGAAUAUAAAUUUCAAGUUGAUUAUUAUUGUAGGGCUUAAUUCCCAUACCUUUUAAGAUAUUCUCUUUUUUGGCAUAACAUCACUUGAUCAGUUUAAUAUGAAAAGAAAUCUUCAAAUUACAUUUUUCCCUUAAAUUUCCUUCAUUAAGUCAGGAGAAAAUCAUACACUAUAUCGCAGAGAAUUUAGAGGAUGAUAUGAGAAAACUAUUUUACAGCUAAGUAACAAACAAUACAAGGCUAAACCAAUAAUGAGUGCCAUUGAGGUGCUUCUCAUUAAUUUAUUUGAAAUUGUUAAUAUUGUUUAUUUUUUAGAUAUCAUAUCAACAAGGGAGCAGAUGAAGCUUAAGUUAAAAGACAUCAAAGAAGUAAUACUUCUUAAUGAACCAAAUUUGUUAUUUCUUGGUGAUUGAGGCUGACAUAAUUGCUUUUGUUGAAAAACACAAAAAGAGAAAAGGAAAGAAUAACACAAAACAUAGAGAUUAUGCAAUUGGUACAUGUUCCAUGUCAAAAGCAUAAUGAGUAUUGCUUUUGGACCAGGUUGAAUGACAUAUUAGCUUUCCACCUGAGCACGGUAACAUUUCCCUCAAUUUGACACGUCAUCAAUUAUGAACUUCCAAGAAACCUGAGAAAACAAAAUUAUGAACUUGGAUUUGGUACCUCUUGACUAGGCAGCUUAUAAAUACUCAUCUUUGCCUUCCCACCAUUCAUAUCAUGCCAUUAAUAUUCAAUUUCUCUUGUUAAGAAACAUGUGGUGCUUACUCAAAGCCUUUCAACUCCUCCACCUUCUUUUGUUCCUCCUGACUUUUCAAGCCAAUCUUUCAUCUUCUUCUUCUUCAAUUACACAGUUGUGCUCUCCUGAAGAAGCUGCUGCAUUGAUCCAAUUCAAGACCUCUUUUUCCAUCAGUGAAUAUGCAUCUUGGAAUUGUGAUCAUUAUGCUGGCAUUAAAUCUUAUCCCAAGACAAAUUCAUGGAAGGAGGGUUCAAAUUGCUGCUCAUGGGAUGGGAUCACUUGUGAUAACGUCAACGGUCAAGUGAUUGGCCUUGACUUGAGUUGCAGUCAGCUCUAUGGCAGCAUCCCCUCCAAUAGUAGUCUCUUCCAUCUUCCACACUUGCAGAAACUCAACCUAGCCUCCAACGAUUUUAACUCUUCCAAGAUGUCAUCUAAGUUUGGUCGGUUUGCAAGUCUGGUGUAUCUUAACCUGUCUUUCGCAUCCUUUGCAGGAGAAGUCCCAUCCCAAAUCUCCCACUUGUCAAAAUUGGUUUCACUUGAUCUCUCUUGGAAUUGUUAUCAACCACUUGAUAGGCAUACUCUGGAAGGACUCGUUGAGAACCUAACAGAGGUGAGACAACUUUUUCUUGGUGAUAUCAAUAUGUCUUCUAUUAAUCCUAAUGUCUUGACGAAUCUAUCCUCAUCUCUAAGGGCCCUUAAUCUUGAGGCUUGUGAUUUGCGAGGAAAAUUCCCAAAAAACAUUUUUCACCUGCCUAACCUCAAGUCCCUCUAUUUAAGGCGCAACGAAAACCUCGCUCUCUAUUUUCCAAAGUUGAACCAGACCAGCAAUCUUCAACUUUUAGAUCUAUCAAGCAUGUUCUUCUCUACAGAAUCGAUAGAUUCAAUAGGCAAUUUACAAUCUUUGAAAUAUUUGGAUUUAUCAUGGACUUCUUUUCCUGGAGGGUGGCCUAAGACUAUCACGAAUUUAUCAUCUUUGGAGCAUUUGGAUGCAUCAGACUCAUCUUUCUCAGGAGCAUUGCCCAACUCAAUCGGGAAUCUAGUGUCCUUGGAGUAUUUAAAUCUUCAAUCAUCCAACUUGUCAGGAUCAAUUCCGAUAUCAUUGGGAAACCUCUCACAACUCAAUCAUUUAGAUUUGUCAUGGAACUAUUUUAGUGGACAAAUUCCAUCCUCACUUACAAACCUAAGACAACUCAAUCAUUUAGAUUUGUCAUGGAACUAUUUUAGUGAACAAAUUCCAUCCUCACUUACAAACCUAAGACAACUUGAAUUCUUUUCCCUUUUUUAUAACCAACUAGAGGGUUCCAUUCCUGAUGAGGUGAAUGCCUUUCCUAAUCUAAUCUCUCUAGACUUAUCUUCUAAUUUACUCAAUGGAACACUUCCCUCAUGGUUGUAUACAGUUUCCACAUUGAAGCACAUAUAUCUCAACGAUAACAAGCUCAGUGGUGAUAUCAAGGAAUUCCAGUGCAAAUCACUAGAACAGAUCCGUUUUGGGAAUAAUAAACUCAAAGGUCCUAUUCCAUCUUCAAUAUUCCAACUUGUGAAUCUUACUACAGUUGACUUUUCACAUCUAAGUGGGUUUGUACAGAUUAACAUGUUCUCAAAACUCCAAAAUCUCCAGUACCUUGAUCUUUCAUAUAGCAGUCUAUCCUUAAACUCUAAUGGUACUAGUGCUGAUUAUGUGUUUCCUAAUCUUCAGUAUUUGUACUUGUCUUCUUGCAAUGUCAAUGAAUUUCCCCAAUUUUUAAAAGGUUCAAAAAGUUUGCAACAUUUAGACCUUUCCAACAAUAAAAUUUAUGGCAAGAUUCCUAAGUGGAUGUGGGAUGUGGGGAAGGACUCUUUGACAUUCUUGAACUUAACUCACAACAAUUUGACGGAUUUUGAACAAAUUCCAUGGAAGGGAAUUGAAAUUCUUGACCUUAGCUCCAAUUUCAUUCAUGGAGAUCUUCCGAUUCCACCUUCAACAACAUCUGUCUUUCUUAUCUCAAAUAAUAAUUUGAGCGGUGAGCUCCCUUCUCUGCUAUGCAAUGCAAAUUCCUUUGAAUUUCUUGACUUGUCUCGCAACAACUUGAGUGGAAUUAUUCCACAAUGUUUUGGAAACUUAAGCCGAAGCCUUUCAGUGUUGAAUCUACAAAGGAACAACUUCUGUGGACUCAUUCCUUCGGUUUUUACAAAGGGAUGUCACUUGAAUUAUCUCAACUUAAAUGGCAAUCAAUUAGAAGGGCCUUUACCACAAGACAUCAUUAAUUGUGGAGGUUUGGAAGUGCUAAAUCUUGGUAACAACAAGAUCAAUGAUACAUUUCCUCAUUGGUUGGAAAGUCUUACACAACUACAAGUUCUUGUGCUGCAUUCGAAUCAAUUGCAUGGUUCCUUUCAAGAUCCGUGGUCCAAUCAUUCUUUCUCUAAAAUUCAAAUUUUUGAUCUGUCGAAUAAUUAUUUUACUGGUCCACUUCCCGUUAAAUAUAUAAAAAAUUUCAAGGCUAUGAUAAAUCUCUCAAAAGAUAAAAGUGCAAGGUCGUACAUGGGAGAGUAUGUUCCUUCUGCUUUGGCUAACUUCUAUAGCUAUUCUAUUGAAAUUGCAAUAAAAGGAGUAGAGAUUGAAUUGGAGAAAAUAUUCAUCGCGUUGACGAGCAUUGACCUCUCAAACAAUGAGUUUCAAGGUGAGAUUCCAAAGGUUAUUGGAGAGCUUGACUCACUCAAAGGGCUAAACCUUUCUCAUAAUAACCUUAGUGGUUGUAUCCCCACAUCAAUGGGGAAUUUGACAGCACUUGAGUCACUGGAUCUCUCUUCGAAUAAGCUUGUUGGGAAGAUUCCUACACAGUUGAAUAGUUUGGAUUUUCUUGAAGUGUUAAACCUUUCACAAAAUCAGCUCGUUGGACCUAUACCUCAGGGAAAACAAUUCGAUACCUUUGGCAGGGAUUCCUACGCUGGUAACUUGGGACUGUGUGGGUUUCUAUUAUCAAGGAGCUGUGACAACACUGAGGCACCCUUUUUUCAUGACAGCACUGAGGCACUCAUUUUUCAUGUGGAAGCAGAUUCUGAAUCUGGAUUUGUGUGGAAAGCGACAUUCAUGGGUUAUGGAAGUGGACUAGUGUUGGGAAUAUCUGCAGCAUAUAUCAUGUUCACACUUGGAAGACCCAAAUGGCUUGUGAGGAUGGUUGAAGAAGUAGGCUACAAAUUGAAGAGAUACCUCAGAGGACGAAGGAAUUUGUAAAUUAGUAAGAAGCCCUCAUCUGUCACUGGUGGAUAGAAUGGCUUGUGUUCCUUUUAUGUUCAAUAUGAUUUUCGUUUCUUGACUGUGUUUUGUUUUGUCUUGCGCCCUGACUUUUCUUCCAGGGGUUGUAUCAUGUUUUCAAGUUGUUUGUUACAGGGGAUGCCCUGUUUUUGAUCUGGUAUGUUGCUUGGCUGUUGCUUAUAGCCAUCCAAAUGCUUGUUCUCUUUUGUUUUAUUCACCAAUGAUUAUUCCUGGUUGAUAAUGAAUUCUAUUGAAGCAGACUUUGUUUUUUUUUUCUUCCUAGAAUAAAUUUUCUUUCAUACUAAUGAAAUUGUAAGACUGUUAUGGAUGCUAUAUGGAAUUUAAAGAUGAAUUUUCUAUCCCUUUUACAAAUGUUGACAUGAAAUUUUAGUUGAAUUCACCAUGCUUAAAUAACUUUUUUUUUUUUUUUUAACGUUUGAAGGCAGCACUCAGGGAGGAUAACAUUGACACUCGGCUACCUUCUCAAUCAAGUCAAGCAAGCAAAAAGAAAUCUGUGUUACUAGCUAAAGGCAUCUGGGCUGGCAAUUCGUUCAUCACAAACAAAUUUUUCUUUACUUUGCUGAAUCAAAGAUUUUGCUUGUAUAUAUAUGUAUAUAUAUAUAACUGAGCUUUACAUAUAUGUAUAUAUAUAUGUAUAUAUGUAUAUUGAAGAACUGAGCUUUGCUUUUUAAGCUUCAGGUGCUUAAACUAUCCAGUUGCCAACUUGGCUUAACCUUGAACAUGCCUUGGACCAUGUUGAGAACAACAGUAUACGUAGUUACAAAAUCUAGUUACCAUGCCUUCACACUUACAACUUUGACUGGUCAUUACCAAUGGAGCCAAAACUUUCCUAUAAUUUCAGUUGUUCAUAAUAAAAGUCUUGUUCUUUUCAAUUUCAAUUCAUAAUUCAACCUUGUGCUAGUAUUCAGUUGGACUGGAGUUGUUCUAAUGCCCAAUUCAGGUCAUAUUUUCUACCUACUUUAGUUUAAGGAGAGAACUGUAAUUCUAAAGUCUAUGGGGGCAGAUUUUGUCAUUUCUGCUCCUCUUACUUCCCACUUGCAGCAAGCAAAUCUUUCCUUCACCAACCAGACUUCUCCCAAAAACCCCCCGGCUUGGAGUAAUGAAGAGACCGAAGAGACCACCCUUCCAUGGGAAUUCUCUUCAUCCCAAUAAAACCUGAAACUCCCUUCUUUUUCUCUUUCUCCUCUUUCAUAUUUUGUUUAAGCAAGUUUCAAUCUUUUUUCUUUCCUUUUUUCUUUUGUAGAUUAUUGAAUUAUUCUUGUUGAUGAGAAUGGCGCUUGAAUCCUCAAUUCUCAGCCAACCCACUUUCUGUUCUUCAAGAAGGUCCUCGCCUUUCAUGCUUUUUAAUCGAAAUUUGAAGUACCCAUAAAAGUUUUUAUCCAAAACUAAUCACUACCCAGCUCCUAUUAUCUCCAGCUUUUCCAAUCCCGAGGUUUUCAAAGCCUUUGGAUUGCGAAAAACUGGAAUUUUUGGAAGUCAGGCACGUCUGGGAUUGUUAAGUGAAGACAAUGAAGAUGUGGGAAAUAAUCAGAAUCUGAUUUUGGUGAAAAGGGGAAUUUUGGUGGCAAUGGUUUGCAGUGUAUUGGUCUUUGGUUGUAAAAGAGUGUUUGCUGUUGAGGGAGUGGUUAAUGCUGGCUAUGGGGUGAUUGAGCAUUGCAUAUUGUUGUUGAGGAACGCUUGGCCUAAGUUAUCUAUGCUUCUUAAAGCUAAUCUUUCAUCUUCUUCUUCUUCAAUUACACAGUUGUGCUCUCCUGAAGAAGCUGCUGCAUUGAUCCAAUUCAAGAUCUCUUUUUCAAUCAGUGAAUAUUCAUAUUGGGAAUGCGGUGAAUCUUUUCCUAUGACAAAUUCAUGGAAGGAGGGUUCAGAUUGCUGCUCAUGGGAUGGGGUCACUUGUGAUAACAUCAAAGGUCAAGUUAUUGGCCUUGACUUGAGUUGCAGUCAGCUAAAUGGCAGCAUCCCUUUCAAUAACAGUCUCUUCCAUCUUCCACACCUACAGAAACCCAACCUAGCCUUCAACUACUUUAACUCUGCCAAGAUGUCAUCUAAGUUUGGUGGGUUUGCAAGUCUAAUGUAUCUCAAUCUCUCUUAUUCAAACUUUGAAGGACAAGUCCCAUCCCAAGUCUCCCACUUGUAGAAAUUGGUUUCACUUGAUCUCUCUGGGAAUUAUUAUUAACCACAUGACAGACAUACUGUGGAAGGACUUGUUCAGAACCUAACAGAGGUGAGACACCUUUUUCUUGACAGUAUCGAUAUGCCUUGAUGAAUCUACCCUCAUCUUUAAGGACUCUUAAUCUCAAGUACUGUGAUUUGCGAGGAAAAUUCCCAAAAAACAUUUUUCACCUGCCUAACCUCAAGUCCCUCUAUUUAGGAUACAACGAAAACCUUGCUCUCUAUUUAGAUCUAUCAGGAAUGUCCUUCUCAACAAAAUCGAUAGAUUCGACGAUCGGCAAUUUACAAUCUUUGAAAUAUUUGGAUUUAUCAUGGACUUCUUUUCUUGGAGGGUUGCCUGAGUCUAUCACGAAUUUAUCAUCUUUGGAGCAUUUGGAUGCAUCAGACUCAUCUUUCUCAGGAGGACUGCCCAACUCAAUCGGGAAUCUAGUGUCCUUGGAGUAUUUAAGUCUUUCAUCACCCAAUUUAUCAGGAUCAAUUUUGAUAUCAUUGGGAAACCUCUCACAACUCAAUUAUUUAGAUUUGUCAUGGAACUAUUUUAGUGGACAAAUUCCAUCUUCACUUACAAAGCUUAGGCAACUUGAAUUUUUGGACAUUUCUAAUAAUCAACUAGAAGGUUCCAUUCCUGAUGAAGUAGCUGCCUUUCCUAAUCUAAUUUCUUUAAACUUAUCUUUUAAUUUGAUCAACGGAACGAUUCCAUCAUGGUUGUUUACAGCUUCCACAUUGAAGUACAUAGCUCUCAUGCAUAAUCAACUCAAUGGUGAUGUCAAGGAAUUUCAAUACAAAUCACUAGAAGAGAUCUCUUUAGAGAAUUAACACUUGGUUACCUUCUUAAUCAAGUUAAGCAAGGAAAAAGAAGAAAUCGGUGUCACUUGCUAAAGUCAUCUGGGCUGGCAAUUCCUUCAUCACAAGCAAAUUUUGCUUUACUUUGCUGAAUCAAAGAUUUUACUAAGCUUUGCUUAGUAACUCCGUGUGCUUAAACUAUCCAGUUGCCAACUUGGCUUAACCUUGGACCAUGUUGAGAAGAACACUAACUGGCCAUUACCAAUGGAGCCAAAACUUUCCUAUAAUUUCAGUUGUUCAUAAUAAGAGACCUGUUCUUUUCAAAUUUUAUUCAUAAUUUAGCCUUCUGAUAGUAUUCGGUUGGAUCGGAGCUUUUGCAAUGCCAAAUUCAAGUCUUUUCUUUUCUCAGUUCAGGGUAGAGACGGUUACCUCUAAGAACUUUAGUCUAAGGAGAGAAUUGUAAUUCUAAAAUCUAUGGGGGCAAGUUUUGUCAUUUCUGCUUCUCUCACUUCCCACUUGCAGCGAGCAAAAUCUUUCCUUCACCAGCCAGACUUCUCCCAAAGACCCCUCUUGGAGUAAUGAAGAGACCACCCUUCCAUGGGAAUUCUCUUCAUCCCAGUAAAACCUGAAACUCCCUUCUUUUUCUCUUUCUCCUUUUUCCAUAUUUUGUUUAAACAUUUUGUAGCAGGAUUAGGAACUUAAUUUUCCGCAUUUAGAUUUUCUUUUUGCCCUCACCAUCAUGCCAAUUUUAUCUUCACCUUCCUUAUCAGAAUGAAUUGAGAUCCUCCCCAUCACAAACUUCUGUGUCCAUAAUAAAUAGUAUGAAAAUGUAGCAAAGGUAUUGCAGGCUGUGGCAUUGCAAAGCCAUUUCUUCUUCAUCUUCUUAUUCAUGGCUACCAGCAUCACCACUAAUAGCGACUAUUAAAGUUGAGUUGUGGCUGCAAGCAUCAGCCUCUGUUAGUGAAACAAAAGACAACGGUCAUGUUAUUCAUCCAUUCAUCAUCAUAAAGUUUGUACAAGGGAUAUGUUAAUACAUAUUAUCGCAAGCAUGCACAACACCACGUAAUGGCUUUUGAAGCUGAGCAAGCACGCGCUAAUUUGCUUGCUGUAGAGAUAGGUUGCCCACGUGGCAUUCAUUAGAAGACUUGGAAAGUCUUUUGCUUUUCAUCAAGAAAUGGUCUAAAUAUUAAGUACUGGACAUCCUUGCCAACCAUCAUUCCUAUAAUUGGUACACCAUAAUGAGUAUUUGCUUUUGGACCAAAUUGGUCUACCAAUUGUUAAAAUAACUUGAAAUUUGAAACCAUGGUCUACCGAGAAUCAAACUUUAGACAAUAAGAAAUAACAUGAAUAAUAAACAAAUGAAAUUAGAUGUGAACAUGAAGACAGAUCUCCGAAAGUGAUUAUUUAUUUCUUUUCUCACUCUAUUAUGAAAGGGAAUUAUCAAUUAAAAUUAAAAUUUAACUCUUAUAUUCAUACUUCAAUAAUUCACUUUCAUGCGUUAUCAAUGAAUUACAAAACUGCUAUGGAUAAAAAUUACUAUUCACAUGAUCAAACAAAUGAUUAUUACUACAAAAUCACAAAAUAAAAUAAAUAAACAUCUCAAAUUGAAUUUACCAUAAUAAAAUAUUAUAUAUAUGACAACAAAAAAAAUAUAUAUUUGACAACAAAAAGUUAAAAUUUGUAGGAAGCAUUUUUUGCCUUCCCUGUGUUAUAGACAGUUUCUUUUCCUCUUGAAGACGCGACCAACAUUAAUUUGCUCCUUGCAAUAAUCCCAACCUCCAACAUUAAAAUGAAAAAGAAAAAUGGGUGAGAAGAUAUGGCUUUGGUCAGUCGAGUCUAAUUGACAAUCUCUGUUCCAAAAUUGACAAAGAAACAUCAAUAUGAAAUUAGGACUCUUCUUUUUGUUCUUGCCUUGAAAGAAUUAAAUUCAACAUCGAGAUGGACAUUACCAAAGUAAAAGGGAGAUUCCUAAAGCUUUUCCAUAGAUUUUUGAAGAAGUAUUUUAACUAAUUCUCUCUCAAAAAAAAAAAAAAGGAAUAGAGAUGCUUUAUUAAAGAAAAUUCUAACUAAUACAAAUUAGCUUCAUGUUUGUGAUCCUAAAUCUAAUAAUGUAUAUCUUCAUAAGAUUUCAAGAAAUUAGUUCCAGCAUUCAGUCUUCUUGCUUCUCUCAUGUUUUCUAGUAUAGCCCAGUCAAUACUGUAAAUUGCCCUUGUUGGGGAGAAUUCUGCAAUGUUUCAGUGAGUGCACGUUGUGGGGGCAAUUCCAACACGGUAGAAGAUUAAAUUUCAGCCUGGUGUAGACCAUAUUAGCAUUAAUAAGACCAAGUUUAUAAUGGAAUGAUUGGAUCACACGUCCAUAUUGUCCUUUUACGGAAAUAACCACCUCACCUUUUUCUUUAAGAUUAGUUUAAUUUUUCCUUUUGACAUGUGGUCUUGGUCUCUUUGAUCAUCUCAUAUUUUCUCUAAUAGAAACUCUCUGUGAAAAGACAAAUCACUGAUCUUAAUGAGCUAGAUAAUCUAAUUAAUGAAUCAGAAGAAAAGUCUUGAUAUGAAAAUUUCGACUUUUACUGCAUAUUAUUUACAAAUGACAGCAUCAACCUCAUUCAUCACGCAGAGACUUUGUAUAGGAGACAAGACACCAUGGACAGUUUGAAUAAGGAAUGCAAUGUCUUUGAAGUGUUGUUUACUCUGAAACUUUGAAGUAGCAGACUACUUUUAACAGGAAAAAGUUAGAGGGACUUGGUAAACUAAUUUGUCUUGAAUGCAUUGACGUGAAGUUGGGGUUCUGCAGUGGUAUAAACAUGAUGCAAAAUGGCUCUGAUAAAGGAAAUUUUAUCAUCGCUGCGCUUUUGAAUUAUUGAUUUCUUUAUUUCUUUCUUUUCCCCUUUAAGUUAAAAAGAAACUUACGAACAUAAAGAAUGAAUAAAUAAAAUCAAAAUUAAUACGCGUUUUAGUUAAGAAAAAAAAAAUAAAAGAGAGAAAGACGGAAAACCUUUUCAAAAUGUUUACUUUAGAAGUAGAAGUCAUAUAGAUUUUUUCAUGCACGUAUUUCACGCGAGAAUGGUAAAGAGUGAUACGUCAUUGCUCUAUUCCUCUUUAAUCUGUAUGUUAGAUUAUGGAUUCUUAUCUUCUCUCAUUAUACUUUAUUAGAAAUUUAACAAGAUGGAAUUGAACUUAAUCUUUAUUUUAAUUUGAUAUGAAAAUUUAGAAAAAUGUUAUGAAGCAAAGGGUAAUGGCACUCUCAUAACGACAAUUGGUGUAGACCAUGACUUUUCAUCAACCCAAAUUUGGGGCCAAACUAAAUUUGAGAUACAACAUAAAUAAAUACUACAUUUAUGGUCUUUGUUUCUGUUCUUCCUCUGAAUUAACUUGAAAUUUAUCACCUCUUUUCUUAACACGGCAAGAUUAAUUUAAAGUAUGGUGUACUCCACAUUAUCAUUAAUGUAAAAAAAUAUAUAAUGGAAUGAUUGAAUCAAAUGCCUUUUUUUUUUCUUUUGGUCGGUACCACCUCCUUUUGCAUUCAAAUUAGCUUGAUUUUUUUUUUCUUUUUGACCAAGACCCAAAAAGUUAACAUCGAUAAGCCUUGUUAGUCAUCUUAUCUUCUCUCUAAUUGAAACUCUCCAAUUGUUGUUUACUUCGAACUUUGAAGCAGCAGACUACUUUUCACAGGAAAAAGUCAGAGAGACUUGGUAAACGAAUUUGUCUUGAAUGCACUGACGUGAAGUUGGUGGUUCUGCAAUGGGUGGAUCUCAUGUCCCUACGCCCUAUUUUCUUUAAGAUAGCUCAAUUGACGGUUUAAAGAAGCUAGUUCCAGCGUUAAGGUUUUCCUGCUUAUCUCAUUUUUUCUACAAGGUCAAUGCUGCAAUAUUUUAGUCUAGUGUAGUCCAUAUUAGUAUCUAAUGGAAUUAUUAAAUCAAUUGCUUAUAUUUGCCAUUUAUUGGGCACCACCUUCUUAUGCUUUCAAUUUAACUUGAUUUUUCUUUUUCGCUUGAGACCUAAAAAAUUAACAUUCACAAGCCUUCUUAGUCUUCGUGGACAUUUUUUUUUUCUUGACGAAAAGACAUAAUUGGUGGACAUCUGAUGUGAAAUUGGUGGAUCCCAUGUCCCUAACACCCUAUUUGCUUUGAGGUAGCUUCGUUAUAAAAUUCACCGGUCUUUUUGUGAAUUGACUUAAAAAUUAUUGGAUCCAUAAUUUCCUCAGUUUCCUAUGACACUAAUACUCUUUUCUUUCGUUUUAUAUUGAUUUUAGCAGUUAACAUGGCACCUUAUAUAAUGCCAACUUCAACCACAAGUUUAUAUAUGAAUACAAAAUUAUAUUUGUACAUUCUUUAUAUGUAUAUACAGAGUGAAAAAUAAAUAAAAAAUUAUAUCUCAGAAUGAAUCUGUAUAUGAACGAAACCAGUAAGUUAUAAACUGUGUAUUGUUUACCACUUGGCACCAAUGCUGCCAUUCGUUUGACAUUGGUUUGAGUGGGCAGUUUAUAAAUACUCAUCUAUGCCUUCUCACCACCACUCAUAUCAAUCAUAUCAUACCAUUAUUAUAUUCCAUUUCUCUUCUUAAGAAAUUAAGAUGUGCUGCUUACUCAUCAGAUCCUUUCAACUCCUCUACCUUCUUUUCUUCCUCUUGAAUUUUCAAGCGUAUCUUUCAUCUUGUUCUUCUUCAAUAACACCAUUAUGCUCUCCUGAAGAAGCUGCUGCAUUGAUCCAAUUCAAGACCUCUUUUUCCAUCAGUCAAGAUUCAUCUUGGAAUUCUGAUCAUUAUGCUGGCAUUAACUCUUAUCCCAAGACAAAUUCAUGGAAGGAGGGUUCAGAUUGCUGCUCAUGGGAUGGGGUCACUUGUGAUAGCAUGAAAGGUCAAGUGAUUGGCCUGGACUUGAGUUGCAGUCAGCUAUAUGGCAGAAUCCCUUCCAAUAGUAGUCUCUUCCAUCUUCCACACCUACAGAAACUCAACCUAGCCCACAACAAUUUUUACUUUUCCAAGAUGUCAUCUAAGUUUGGUGGGUUUGCAAGCCUAAUGUAUCUCAAUCUCUCUGAUUCAAACUUUGCAGGUCAAGUCCCAUCCCAAGUCUCCCACUUGUCGAAAUUGGUUUCACUUGAUCUCUCUCAGAAUUAUUAUCAACCACUUGACAGGCAUACUCUGGAAGGACUCGUUGAGAACCUAACAGAGGUGAGACAACUUUCUCUUGGUCAUAUCAAUAUGUCUUCUAUUAAUCCUAAUGCCUUGACGAAUCUAUCCUCAUCUUUAAGGGCCCUUAAUCUUGAGGGUUGUGAUUUGCGAGGAAAAUUCCCAAAAAACAUUUUUCACCUGCCUAACCUCAAGUCCCUCUAUUUAGGAUACAACAAAAACCUCGCUCUCUAUUUUCCAAAGUUGAACUGGACCAGCAAUCUUGAACUUUUAGAUCUAUCAAGCAUGUUCUUCUCUAUAGAAUCGACAGAUUCAAUAGGCAAUUUACAAUCUUUGAAAUAUUUGGAUUUAUUUGGGACUUCUUUUCCUGGAGGGUUGCCUGAGUCUAUCACGAAUUUAUCAUCUUUGGAGCAUUUGGAUGCAUCAGACUCAUCUUUCUCAAGAGGAUUGCCCAACUCAAUCGGGAAUCUAGUGUCCUUGGCGUAUUUAAAUCUUCAAUCAUCCAACUUGUCAGGAUCAAUUCCGAUAUCAUUGGGAAACCUCUCACAACUCAAUCAUUUAGAUUUGUCAUGGAACUAUUUUAGUGGACAAAUUCCAUCCUCACUUACAAACCUAAGACAACUUGAAUUCUUAUCCCUUUUUUAUAACCAACUAGAGGGUUCCAUUCCUGAUGAGGUGAAUGUCUUUCCUAAUCUAAUCUCUCUAGACUUAUGUUCUAAUUUACUCAAUGGAACACUUCCCUCAUGGUUGUAUACAGUUUCCACAUUGAAGCACAUAUAUCUCAACGAUAACAAGCUCAGUGGUGAUAUCAAGGAAUUCCAGUGCAAAUCACUAGAAGAGAUCUCUUUUGGGAAUAAUAAACUCAAAGGUCCUAUUCCAUCUUCAAUAUCCCAACUUGUGAAUCUUACUAGAGUUGACUUUUCACAUCUAAGUGGGUUUGUACAGAUUAACAUGUUCUCAAAACUCCAAAAUCUCCAAUACCUUGAUCUUUCAUAUAGCAGUCUAUCCUUAAACUCUAAUGGUACUAGUGCUGAUUAUGGAUCUCCAAAUCUUCAGUAUUUGUUCUCGUCUUCUUGCAAUGUCUAUGAAUUUCCCCAGUUUUUGAAAGGUUCAAAAAGUUUGGAACAUUUAGACCUUUCCAACAAUAAAAUUUAUGGCAAUAUUCCUAACUGGAUGUGGGAUGUGGGGAAGGACUCUUUGCAGUAUUUGAAUCUAUCUCACAACUCUUUGACAGAUUUUGAGCAAAUUCCAUGGAAGGGAAUUAAAUUUCUUGACCUUAGCUCAAAUUUCAUUCGAGGAGAUCUUUCGAUUCCACCAUCAACAACAGUGAUCUUUUAUAUCUCAAAUAAUAGUUUGAGUGGAGAGAUCCCUUCUCUGCUAUGCAAUGCAAAUUCCCUUGAAUUUCUUGGCUUGUCUCACAACAACUUGAGUGGAAUUAUUCCACAAUGUUUUGGAAACUUAAGCCAAAGCCUUUUAGUGUUGAAUCUACAAAUGAACAAAUUCCGUGGAUUCAUUCCUCCGGCUUUUACAAAGGGAUGUAAAUUGAAUUAUCUCAACUUAAAUGGUAAUCAAUUAGAAGGGCCUUUCCCACAAGCCAUCAUUAAUUGUAGAGGUUUGGAAGUGUUAGAUCUUGGUAACAACAAGAUCAAUGAUACAUUUCCUCAUUGGUUGGAAAGUCUUACACACCUACAAGUUCUUGUGCUGCAUUCGAAUCAAUUGCAUGGUUCCUUUCAGGACCCGUGGUCCAAUCAUUCUUUUUCCAAAAUUCAAAUUUUUGAUCUGUCGAAUAAUUAUUUUACUGGUCUACUUCCCGUUAAAUAUAUAAAAAAUUUCAAGGCUAUGAUAAAUCUCUCAAAAGAUAAAAGUGCAAGGUCAUACAUGGGAGUGUAUGCUCGUUCUGCUGCUGCUGACUUCUAUAGCUAUUCUAUUGAAAUUGCAAUGAAAGGAGUAGAGAUUCAAUUGGAGAAAAUAUUCAUCGCGUUGACGAGCAUUGACCUCUCAAACAAUGAGUUUCAAGGUGAGAUUCCAAAGGUUAUUGGAGAGCUUGACUCACUCAAAGGGCUAAACCUUUCUCAUAAUAACCUUAGUGGUUGUAUCCCCACAUCAAUGGGGAAUUUGACAGCACUUGAGUCACUGGAUCUCUCUUCGAAUAAGCUUGUUGGGAAGAUUCCUACACAGUUGAAUAGUUUGGGUUUUCUUGAAGUGUUAAACCUUUCACAAAAUCAGCUCGUUGGACCUAUACCUCAGGGAAAACAAUUCGAUACCUUUGGCAGGGAUUCCUACGCUGGUAACUUGGGACUGUGUGGGUUUCUAUUAUCAAGGAGCUGUGACAACACUGAGGCACCCUUUUUUCAUGACAGCACUGAGGCACCCAUUUUUCAUGUGGAAGCAGAUUCUGAAUCUGGAUUUGUGUGGAAAGCGACAUUCAUGGGUUAUGGAAGUGGACUAGUGUUGGGAAUAUCUGCAGCAUAUAUCAUGUUCACACUUGGAAGACCCAAAUGGCUUGUGAGGAUGGUUGAAGAAGUAGGCUACAAAUUGAAGAGAUACCUCAGAGGACGAAGGAAUUUGUAAAUUAGUAAGAAGCCCUCAUCUGUCACUGGUGGAUAGAAUGGCUUGUGUUCCUUUUAUGUUCAAUAUGAUUUUCGUUUCUUGACUGUGUUUUGUUUUGUCUUGCGCCCUGACUUUUCUUCCAGGGGUUGUAUCAUGUUUUCAAGUUGUUUGUUACAGGGGAUGCCUUGUUUUUGAUCUGGUAUGUUGCUUGGCUGUUGCUUAUAGCCAUCCAAAUGCUUGUUCUCUUCUGUUUUAUUCACCAAUGCUUAUUUCUAGAAUAAAUUUUCUUUCAUACUAAUGAAAUUGUAAGCCUGUUAUGGAUGCUAUAUGGAAUUUAAAGAUGAAUUUUCUAUCCCUUUUACAGAUGUUGACAUGAAAUUUUAGUUGAAUUCACCAUGCUUAAAUAACUUCUUUUUUUUUUUUACGUUUGGAGGCAGCACUGAGGGAGGAUAACAUUGAAUCCUAUAAUUAAAACUGGAGCAAUGGAAGCUUUUAAUUUAUCUCAAAUUUUGCCCUUUCACAGAGUACAGCAGGCAAGCAGAAGGACUUAACAGCAUCCAAUAGUCAAUGUUUUAAUACCUGCCACUCCGCUACCUUCUUAAUCAAGUCAAGCAAGCAAAAAGAAAUCAGUGUUACUAGCUAAAGGCAUCUGGGCUGGCAAUUCCUUCAUCACAAACAAAUUUUGCUUUACUUUGCUGAAUCAAAGAUUUUGCUUAUAUAUAUGUAUAUUGAAGAACUGAGCUUUGCUUUCUAAACUUCAGGUGCUUAAACUAUCCAGUUGCCAACUUGGCUUAACCUUGGACAUGCCUUGGACCAUGUUGAGAACAACAGUAUGCGUAGUUACCAAAUCUAGUUACCAUGCCUUCACACUUACAUCUUUGACUGGCCAUUACCAAUGGAGCCAAAACUUUCCUAUAAUUUCAGUUGUUCAUA